rnacentral:rRNA from 1 species
UACCAGCACCCCGAGUGGUCGGGACGUUUAUUGGGCCUAAAGCAUCCGUAGCCGGUUCUACAAGUCUUCCGUUAAAUCCACCUGCUUAACAGAUGGGCUGCGGAAGAUACUAUAGAGCUAGGAGGCGGGAGAGGCAAGCGGUACUCGAUGGGUAGGGGUAAAAUCCGUUGAUCCAUUGAAGCCCACCAGUGGCGAAGGCGGCUUGCCAGAACGCGCUCGACGGUGAGGGAUGAAAG